rnacentral:rRNA from 1 species
AAUGAACGUUGGCAGCGUGGAUUAGGCAUGCAAGUCGAGCGACAAGGUCCUGGACUGGAGGAGCGGCAAACGGGUAGGUAAUACAUCGGAACGUACCCUCACGUCUGGGAUAGCCACGGGAAACUGUGGGUAAUACUGGAUAAUCUCACCACUUGUGAAGAGUGGUGAGCAAAGGUCCGCCGCGUGAGGAGCGGCCGAUGCGAUACUAGAUAGUUGGUGGGGUAAUGGCCUACCAAGUCUAAGAUGUCUAGGGGUGUGAGAGCAUGGCCCCCACCACUGGGACUGAGACACUGCCCAGACACCUACGGGUGGCUGCAGUCGAGAAUCUUUGGCACUGGGCGCAAGCCUGACCAAGCGACGCUGCGUGC